ACGGAUACUCUAGCCGGGUUGCACCAUAAAGCAGCCCAGCCCCAGCCGCAA
rnacentral:ncRNA from 1 species